CCUACGGGAGGCAGCAGUGGGGAAUAUUGCACAAUGGGGGAAACCCUGAUGCAGCAACGCCGCGUGAAGGAUGACGGUUUUCGGAUUGUAAACUUCUUUUCUUAGUGACGAAGACAGUGACGGUAGCUAAGGAAUAAGCAUCGGCUAACUACGUGCCAGCAGCCGCGGUAAUACGUAGGAUGCAAGCGUUAUCCGGAUUUACUGGGUGUAAAGGGAGCGCAGGCGGGACUGCAAGUUGGAUGUGAAAUACCGUGGCUUAACCACGGAACUGCAUCCAAAACUGUAGUUCUUGAGUGAAGUAGAGGCAAGCGGAAUUCCGAGUGUAGCGGUGAAAUGCGUAGAUAUUCGGAGGAACACCAGUGGCGAAGGCGGCUUGCUGGGCUUUAACUGACGCUGAGGCUCGAAAGUGUGGGGAGCAAACAGGAUUAGAUACCCUGGUAGUCCACACUGUAAACGAUGAUAGCUAGGUGUGGGGGGUCUGACCCCUUCCGUGCCGGAGUUAACGCAAUAAGCUAUCCACCUGGGGAGUACGACCGCAAGGUUGAAACUCAAAGGAAUUGACGGGGGCCCGCACAAGCAGUGGAUUAUGUGGUUUAAUUCGAAGCAACGCGAAGAACCUUACCAGGUCUUGACAUCCGACUAACGAGAUAGAGAUAUGUCAGGUGCCCUUCGGGGAAAGUCGAGACAGGUGGUGCAUGGUUGUCGUCAGCUCGUGUCGUGAGAUGUUGGGUUAAGUCCCGCAACGAGCGCAACCCCUGCCAUUAGUUGCUACGCAAGAGCACUCUAAUGGGACCGCUACCGACAAGGUGGAGGAAGGUGGGGACGACGUCAAAUCAUCAUGCCCCUUAUGACCUGGGCUACACACGUAAUACAAUGGCCGUUAACAGAGGGAAGCAAAGCGGUGACGCAGAGCAAAACCCUAAAAACGGUCCCAGUUCGGACUGUAGGCUGCAACCCGCCUACACGAAGUUGGAAUUGCUAGUAAUCGCGGAUCAGCAUGCCGCGGUGAAUACGUUCCCGGGCCUUGUACAC
rnacentral:rRNA from 1 species